rnacentral:ncRNA from 1 species
GAUACGGGCGUUUCAUAGGGAAGUCUGGGCCAAUUGCCCCGCAGCCCCCGCUGCCGUUUUAGCGGCGCGCCGCUCCCACUGGGUGAAGAUCUGGGAAGGGACGGAGCACACAAACCGCUAUUUUAAGCCGGAAGACCUGCCGUCUCUUUUG